rnacentral:rRNA from 1 species
AUCGAACGCUGGCGGCAGGCCUAACACAUGCAAGUCGAACGAGUGGCGGACGGGUGAGUAAUGUCUGGGAAACUGCCCGAUGGAGGGGGAUAACUACUGGAAACGGUAGCCAAUAACGCCUACCAUCGGAUGAGCCCAGAUGGGAUUAGCUAGUAGGUGGGGUAACGGCUCACAUGGGCGACGAUGCCUAGCUGGUCUGAGAGGAUGACCAGCAACACUGGAACGGGGACAGGGCCAGAACGCCUACGGGAGGCAGCAGUGGGAAAUAUUGCACAUGGGGCGAAGGCCUGAUGCGGCCAUGCCGGGUAUAGGAAGAGGGCCUUCGGGUUGUAAAGUAUUUUCAGCGAGGCGACGUUACUCGCAGAAGAAGCACCGGCUAACUACGUGCCAGCAGCCGCGGUAAUAC